UAUAUUUAUUUUUCCUCUUUUCUUCUUCGUCUCCCCUACGGUACAUUGUUCUCUCGUUUCGUGUUCAUCUUCGACUUCAUCUUCUCUCCGACCAGGCCUUCUCCAUUCUUCGACUUCAUCUUUGGCUUCGUCUUCAUCUUCGUCUUCUCCCUAAUUCAUCAUAGAACUUUGUUCCUCAUCUUUAGCUUCAGCUACAUCUUCGUUCUCUAACUAAGAAUUUCUGUUCGGCUCUCCGUUCCUCUUUCACCUUCGUUCUCCGGUUAAGGGAAGAUCAAAAUACCAACUGAUCAGCAAGAAAAAACAUAGACAAAUGUACUGAGGAUCACAAGAGGAUCAAUUGAAAGUAAGCUUGUGGGAGAAAUUGCAAAACAAGUCCUCAAGAAUAAGAGAUAUUACAAUCUCAUUGACACAACACUCUGGGAGGGAUAGUUUGGGAGCCUCUCAGCAAACUGUAAAGCUUGGAAGAUUUUAGAAUUUUGUUAUUUCAAUAGAUUUAUAUAUUUGUUUCUUUACAUUUACCUCACCAACAGAUAUUAUGUUUUACAUAACUAGUAACCAUAAAGGAGGGUGUGGAAGAAAGGUUCGUAGUGAUUUAUGUUUUCUAUACAUUUAGAUUCCACGUUGAAUUUGAACUAGGUAUCACUUGGUCGUUUGUUAGCAAGAUUCCACAAUGUGCACUUCAUAUAGAAAUCCCUUCUCUCUUGCCAUUUUGUUCUAGGUAACUAUAGUAUAUGUUCCUUUUCCUAGCCACGAGUGUCAUUCUCUUCUGCUGUUUAUUUCUUUAUAGUUUAUCCAACAAUUUGAAAGUAAAAUUUUGUUUGUAUUUAUCUUGACUGUCCUGAUUUCAAAAGUAUUCCAUUAAUUUUCCAAACUCAUCAACCCUCUUGAUGUAACCAAUUAUAAAACUCAAGUACCAAAAGCUUCACAUAUUCUUCAAACAACUGGAGGUUGUCUAUGUUUCAUCUACCUCCAUUCCAAAGGAAGGUGAGAAGCUUCUAGGAACAGUGUUCAUAAUUAUUUACAUCAAGAGGAUCAAGUUGUUUGGAGAGAUCAGACAAUACUUCUAUAAUGAGUGUAGCCAUGGUGAAAUUCUUCUUCUUCUUGUAUUUGCUUGCAGAUUGUUUGAAAAACUAAAGGAAAUAAAAAGUUGUGCUCAUAAUUAUUUCCA